ACUCAUCGCGGUCAUAGCCCCCCACCAAGAUGACUUCUUUCUGAGCUCCUUGCUUGUGUUGGCAACAUGCACUCAUUUAACUUUAAAAAUAAGUAAGAUACUCGUUAGAAAUCUGGACGGAACAGUCAGAAAACCUGCCGCUCUCCAGCCAGAUCACAUCUUCCACCCACCUGCUGUUUUAUGGGAUUCACGGGUCUGCAGGCCUUUCUUGUAACCUUUGGAAUUAGGUUUUUAUUUCUCCAAAAGUCCUGAAGGCUGGGGGUCCUAGAUCAAGGUGCGUUGUGGCUGCGAGCUCUCCCAGCUGCAGACAGCCGCCCUCUGCCGCGUGCUCACACGGAGGAGAGAGGAAGCCAGCUCUUGGGGUGUCUCUUCCCUGGUUUCCACACCGGCAGAUGUGCUCCACCAAAUCCCAGCUCUGCUCCUGCUGUCGUGGAUGGCCCCAAAGAAGAAGAAAGUGUCCCCCAUGAGGGCCUUCUCGACUCGGGGAGGGUCUGUCCCGGUCUGGAUUCAGGGCCCAGGAGCGUAGGCUGCCCGGUCUGUGCACCCUAAAUUAAAUCCUGCUCUUGGAUGCCACCACGAUUCAGGGUGGAGAGACCCCUGCCUCAGUGGAAUCCUUCCAGCACUGAGGACGUAGGAAGGUGCUAGAGGAGACUUUGUCUUGAAUGUCCACAAGGUCUCCUCCCGCCCCCCACCCCGAGCCUGGGCGAUCGAGCGGCCAGCCCUAUCCUGGGGAAGAGAGGCAUGGAGGGUGGCAGCUGGCAGCUGGCCUCAGCCUCCGAUUGUCCCCUGAGCCUGACCUGAGCAGCUGACAAGGGGUCACCCUGUUAUUUCUGCUGAGUUUGGCCCAAUUUCUAACAAGAAAAGUUCCACCAGAGCGUGUGCUGCACUUGGGGUGAGGGCUGUGUCCUGGUGGUGACAUCUGGGUCCUGAGUAGGAAGGGGACUGCGGGGCGGGGGAAGGGACUCUGCUUCCCCUCUCUGCUCUGCGCAUUCUCUGGACAAGCCUCGCGCUGCAGACGAUCCUGGGCUUCUAAUCAUGUUCCUGUUCUGACGUUGAUGUUUGCCGUCCUCACCCUAAGGGAGAAAGAGUCUCUGUCCCUGCGUGGCGACAGGCUUUUUCCAGGUCUGGUGGUGACCGGGGGGCCCUGCGUGGAGUUGGGGGGGCGCUCCAUCACCCCUGGGCCUGGCCGCGGGGCCCCUCACCCAGCGGCCACCAGCUCCAGGGUCUGCCCCUGAAAUCCCUUCACUCCUGCUGUUGCCUUUGGGACCUUCCCUCCCAGGGCCCAGCCUUGAUGUCAGAGGGCAUCAGGAUUGCGGUCAGCCUCCCCAAUUCUCAUGCUUCUCAGACUGGGGCAGGGGUCAGAAUGCCCUGAAGAGUGUUAUGAUCCCGAAGUCCCUUCAGGAGCUUGGGGCACAGACGCCUCCUUGAGAAGUGCUGUCCUCUGCGAAUGAACCCCUUUCCGUGUUAGGGCCGGAGACUCUUGGGACAUUUGUCCCCCCAGCCCGUGUCCCAUGGAACCCAGACGUUAUGGUCCAUACAAAGGGUCGGUGGCCACAUACAUUUAAUACCUGUGACAUGCCAAAACCUCUCUCUCCCAGAAAGCCGAGAAAUGCUGCGAUGAAGUAAAAGCUUUGUGAAAUCCUGUAGGACCGCUCCAGGUUUCUUCCCACCCAGCAUGCCCAAACCCGUCUGAAAAUGGAGCAGGUCUGUGGUUACCAUCCCUCCUGCCCUGGGCUGCGGUUCCAUCGGGUUCAGUCUGAGAAACUGCCCCGGGACACGGGCGCAGUCUGAUGGCGGCCGCAUCCCUCUGUUCACGCGCUCCCAUGAGCCUCUUGGCUAUGGCUCAUCUAACACCCGUGUGUCUCCCAAACUCCUCCCCACCCCUCCCAGGCCGCGUCCUUGGCUUUGGGGAGCUCCUGCAGGGGCUGCAUGAAGAGGGGGCAGUGAUGACCAUCGGAGGCAGGAGGCACUCAGUGGCCUGUCUGCUCCCGCUGGAUGCUGGGCUUCCAGGAGUCAGAGUCCACACGCACGGCCUUGCAUACAGUAGGUGCUCAACUAGUGAUUGCGGCCAGGCUGAGACUGGGCUGCCUGACAGCCCUUCUUCCCCCUGAACACGGGGGAACUGGCCUUCGGAGACUGACUGAUCAUCCCUUAGGAAAUGCUCGCUGACCUCCAGACUUCGGCCAUGGCAGGGAGGACCCCGUCCUGGAAGGGGGAUCCUCUGAGCUGACUGCCCUGGGUGGCACUGGCUUCUGAGGACUGGAGAAGGUAGUGGCCACGCUGUGGACAGUCACACCGUCUCCGAGACUGUUCUUGUUGGCUCUGGCAUAUGCUGUUCCCCGCACACCCCCCAAGGCUUCAGGGUCACGGGGUCCCAAAUGGGACUGCGCUCCUAAGGGGACAGUGUUUGCUCAACUACCUGGCAGAUCCGUGUGGACUGGGGUGGCCAGCCUCCUGCUGAGGUGACAUGUGUGUCACAAUAACACACACAGCCAGAGGCAGAAUCACCCCUGGCAGAGAAACAUGGUUGCUCAGGCUGCUGUCAUGUCCCUGGAGGGGACCUGUGGUUAUGGGCCCAGGGCUGUGCCCUGGAGGAGACGUGGUGGGGGGUGCAGCUUGGGUCACUCGAUUUUCCCUUCCUGCAAGAACCCUGGCGGGAUGUCUUUGUGGGUGGCAUGGCCCCCGCAUGGGCCCUGGGGGCUGCUGGCUGUCCAAAGACAGGGGCCCCUCCUCCUGUCCCUGCUGACAUCUUUGCUGGUGACAUGAUGUGUCCUGUGAACACAACCCAGGUUUGUUAGGAAGCUCCCCAUGUAGAGAGUUCGGGGGAAACUUCCACCUGCAUUUCAAGGCUUCCUGGUGACACACAUCUGCAGAGCAUGGAGACGAGGCUUCAUGUGCAGGCGUCUCAAGAUAGUGCGGGAAUUGGGAAAUUUGGGCAAGGUGUGUGUGCAAAUGGCCGUUUGGGCAGGGCCUGAAUGACGUCAGGCCCACCUGCACAGGCUCUGGGCCUCAGUCAAUGCAGGACAGCACGUGGACAAGCCAGGCACCAUCUCAGUCACAGAAGCAAUUGCUGUGUGCAUUUUCAGAGAUAAGCCGAGGUGACCUUCAUCAUGGUGCACACUUCUGACCACGGAUCGGGGAGAAGGUUCACUCCCUCCCCUCAUAGAAUUCAUUCCAUUCACCCACUCACUCCUGGAAACUGUCCUGCACCUGUGGGAGCUGGCCGGGCACAUCAGGCACCCCCCAACAACUUCCUUCCUCUUCUGCCCUGGGUCUGGUCUGUGUCACCCCCUGUCCCGGGCCCACUGAGCAAGGGUCCCUGACUUGCUGUAUGGAGGGAAUUCCUCUCUCCCCUGGAGUGAAGCACUUUCUUCAUCCAGUCCCUUUCUUGGGGGGGCAGGCAGAGGAUGGGGAUGUGACCAAGGGCUUUGUGAGGGAUGAAGGUCGAGCUGUUUGCCCUGGAGAUGGUGGGUUACUGUCAAGACAGGAGGGAGCUCAGGAACCCCCUCCCUUAAUCUGAAAAGAAAAAGCUUCUGCGCAGCCAAGGAGAACAUUAACCAAAUGAAAAAGCAACUUAGUGAAUGGGAGAGGAUAAUUUGCAAAUGAGAUAACCGAUAAGGGGUUACUAUCCGAAAUAAACAAAAUAUACAAAAGAAUGUAUACAAUUCAACA